UACGUAGGGUGCGAGCGUUAAUCGGAAUUACUGGGCGUAAAGCGUGCGCAGGCGGUUUGCUAAGACCGAUGUGAAAUCCCCCGGGCUUAACCUGGGAACUGCAUUGGUGACUGGCAGGCUAGAGUAUGGCAGAGGGGGGGUAGAAUUCCACGUGUAGCAGUGAAAUGCGUAGAGAUGUGGAGGAAUACCGAUGGCGAAGGCAGCCCCCCUGGGCCCAAUACUGACGCUCAUGCACGAAAGCGUGGGGAGCAAACG
rnacentral:rRNA from 1 species